GACGAACGCUGGCGGCGUGCUUAACACAUGCAAGUCGAACGGUAAGGCCCUUCGGGGUACACGAGUGGCGAACGGGUGAGUAACACGUGGGUGAUCUGCCCUGCACUUCGGGAUAAGCCUGGGAAACUGGGUCUAAUACCGGAUAGGACCCUGGGAUGCAUGUCCUGGGGUGGAAAGCUUUUGCGGUGUGGGAUGGGCCCGCGGCCUAUCAGCUUGUUGGUGGGGUGAUGGCCGACCAAGGCGACGACGGGUAGCCGGCCGGAGAGGGUGACCGGCCACACUGGGACUGAGAUACGGCCCAGACUCAUACGGGGGGCAGCAGUGGGGAAUAUUGCACAAUGGGCGCAAGCCUGAUGCAGCGACGCCGCGUGAGGGAUGACGGCCUUCGGGUUGUAAACCUCUUUCAGCACCGACGAAGCACAAGUGACGGUAGGUGCAGAAGAAGGACCGGCCAACUACGUGCCAGCCGCCGCCGUAA
rnacentral:rRNA from 1 species